AUUGAACGCUGGCGGCAGGCCUAACACAUGCAAGUCGAGCGGAGCGGCGGACGGGUGAGUAAUGCCUCUGAAUCUGCCUGGUAGUGGGGGAUAACGUCCGGAAACGGCCGCUAAUACCGCAUACUAUCAGAUGAGCCUAGGUCGGAUUAGCUUGUUGGUGGGGUAAAGGCCUACCAAGGCGACGAUCCGUAACUGGUCUGAGAGUAGGAGCAGUCACACUGGAACUGGUACACGGUCCAGACUCCUAAGGGAGGCAGCAGGGGGGAAUAUUGGACAAUGGGCGAAAGCCUGAUCCAGCCAUGCCGCGUGUGUGAAGAAGGUCUUCGGAUUGUAAAGCACUUUAAGUGGGGAGGAGUUACCAAAAGAAUAAGCACCGGCUAACUUCGUGCCAGCAGCGGCGGUAAUAG
rnacentral:rRNA from 1 species